rfam:Physcomitrella patens subsp. patens PHYPAscaffold_79 genomic scaffold, whole genome shotgun sequence.
UGGAUCACAAAUUUGCUCAAUGCUCUCUGGAGCUUCUGUGCCGUUGCUUUGGGGAGUGUGGGUUUGUCCCCCUGGACAGGUCUGCAGAACCUGACGGCCUUGGCCCUGAUCUGCAUCCCUCUCUUAAUUGAACCUCAGAAGCUUCAUAGGACAUUGACUUGAUUUGUGACCCU